UAACGCGUAAAGAACUUGCCUCACAGAUAGGGACAACAUUUGGAAACGAAUGCUAAUACCUGAUAUUAUGAUUUUAGGGCAUCCUAGGAUUAUGAAAGCUAUAUGCGCUGUGAGAGAGCUUUGCGUCCCAUUAGCUAGUUGGAGAGGUAACGGCUCACCAAGGCGAUGAUGGGUAGCCGGCCCGAGAGGGUGAUCGGCCACAAGGGGACUGAGACACGGCCCUU
rnacentral:rRNA from 1 species